CGGGUGGAUGAGUGGCGAACGGGUGAGUAACACGUGAGUAACCUGCCCCUUCUUUGGGAUAACGCCCGGAAACGGGUGCUAAUACUGGAUAUUCACUGGCCUUCGCAUGGGGGUUGGUGGAAAGGUUUGUUCUGGUGGGGGAUGGGCUCGCGGCCUAUCAGCUUGUUGGUGGGGUGAUGGCCUACCAAGGCUUUGACGGGUAGCCGGCCUGAGAGGGUGACCGGUCACAUUGGGACUGAGAUACGGCCCAG
rnacentral:rRNA from 1 species